rnacentral:rRNA from 1 species
UAAAAGACUCUACUCUACUCUCCACCCCGCGAGCAGAGAGGCCCGAGGCCGCUGCCCCGGCACGGUCCGUCGUCGCCUCACAGGCGGGGUAGUACAACACAAAUCAUUCACUGGCUUAGCACUCGGGCACUGGCCCUCGCUGGUUUGGCCUUAGCGUUAGGAGGAUUAAACCCAGGCUGGAUUGGCAGCGGUGAGCGAGCGAGGUUUGGGAUCGAUCGAUGGAUGGAGCGCGGCGGCAGAGGCCGCGGGAGCCGGGAAGGCGAGGCAGUUUGGCGGCCACCGACGCGCUCCAAGGGGAGGGGUCGCACCGCGAGAAGUCGUAGCGGCGGGUGGGGCUCCCGCGGCGGGAGGCGUUCCAGAAGUCGGGUAGGGGCUGUCACUCUAAGCGACUGUCUGUUCGGCGGACGGGUUCCAGUGUUGCAGCUCCAAAAGGGUCUAGUCGGUUGUUGGUUGUACCAUUGCAUGUUCAGAGAUGAACUGAUGAGCCUAUCCUGCAGAGUUCAAUUUCGUGGACUUUGUACCCUAGUAUACUUAAUACUCCUACUGGUUGAACAUCGACUCCUGACCUUAUCCGACGCUUAGGACUCGGCACCACCUUUAACCCAAUUAAUUUAUGAGGUUCUGACGUUGACAAUAGAUACCUACUUUAUUGGUUUGAUUGAGCGUUCUUUUGUCAGAGGUACCAGACUUACUGGUUUGUCGCUUGUGUAUAUACGAAACGAGAGUACCCCUCCCGAAGUCCUCUGUCCUCGGAGCUACGCGACUUCUCUCCCCGACUCGACGGCUCCCUGGUUAAAACACCGAGACUACUCUUAGGAAACUCUACGAUGAUCACUGUUGGGAUGCCAUUGGUUCACUUCCAAAACGACAACGACGUAAACCGAGCCAGACACCCAGACCCCCUACAGAAAACGCUCGUAGGACCAAUGGAAAGGCAUACAUUACUUCACCAACACUACGACACUAAGGUCAAUUACAAUACGGAAAACGGAAAGGUCAAUAUGACACUAAUCUCGAAACUGUAUAUGUCCCCCGACCAUCCUAGAGGAGCGAGAACGACUUCACGCCAACACAACAAGAACAGCUCGGGCUCCCGGACUGGAAGAAAGAUAACAAAACCAAUGGACGACGGGGAGGACAUACUCCACCUCAAAAAUUCAAAGGACAUCACUGAACAAGUCAAGACACUAGCAAUCGUACACAGCACU